rnacentral:lncRNA from 1 species
GCCUCCUUAUUUUCUCAACCUAAAUGAUGCAUCAGACAUGUCACUUCAAGCCCUGAGCAUGCUGAGUACCAUGAAAGAAACCGCAUGUCUCAGUAGAAAGUUGGGAGAACCUGAGCCUGAAGUUGGGCGAGACGUGGAGCCUGAAUGUCUUCAUUUGUUAAUUGGGGAUAAAAGUACCAACACCAGAGACUCAUUGUGAGUGUUCUUUGAGAUCAGACGUAAGUUCUUAGCACAAGAUCAGUGGUCAAUCACAUUAAUAAAGCAUCAGGACAAAAGCUGGUUAUUUUAAUUCUCUGCAGUUCAAAGCCAGAAUUAGGACAAGACUGCCUUAGGAGAGUUAAAGGGGCAACAGACAAGCUGUAGGAUUCUAAAAUGGCUCUUUAAAGAGAUCAGUAGUGCCCAGGAUAGAAAGAAAAAAAAUGCUGCUAAGACAGAUGAAAUCCCUCUGCAGAGCUCUGUCCCCAGGAGGUGGGAUGGCCACUGCCCCAGCAGGCAGCGUGAGCUAGACGGUCAGAGUCCAAUUCCCACUAUGUCUGCCAGGCAAAUACUUGCCCAAGGACUGCUUAAAAAUAGCAUCAGACGCCACCCACCACCGAAGGUCAGUUUCCAGGAAGGUAGGGUGAGCGGGUGGAAGGUACUGCGCAAGAGGCUCCACACCUGCCCCCGUGGACCCAGAGCUUAAUUUUCAUUUGGUGAUUCCAAUAUGCUGGCAAGGUGAAGAAGCUAGCUGAUCAGCUACAAACAAGGCCCCUGAUUCUAUUCUCACUUAGCACAACCUGAAGAGCAGCUUUUCACUGGAGAAAAGGUCUUGCAGAAAUAGAAAUAUCCGCCUAACAAAGAGGAAGGGAUCGACGGUGCCUGUUUUCCUCUAGUUGUUGAAAAUGGAUGAAGGUUUUUAUUGGGCUAUGUGGAACCCUCUUCCUGACAGAUGGAACCAAGUAAAUUCUUAAAAGUGGCAACGCUGAGAUGAAGCUUAUGAAUAUUUUCAAGGCUUUUGAAAAAACACAGGGAACUUUCCUCCUGAAAGCUUGUACCAACACCUACACUGCAGCGUAUGAGAAUACCUGUCCCACCAUGCCUUUACUGUCCAUGUGCUGCUAUCAAUACAUAUCAAUUAGGAAAAAUGGGUGAUUCCCUAGGGACAACUCAGACCAAGAGAAAGGAAUUAGGUUCCAGCUCUGAGAUUUAGCUUAAAGAGGAAAAAAGCAAAGCAACAAAGAACAAAAUUCUUAUCCCCUUGGGCUGCCCCAAAGGAAUUGGACCAGAAGUCCAUACAGGGGGCAUCUAUUUGAAGCCUCCUGGGUCAUUAUUUCACAAAUCUUCCUUUGCACAAUGGACUUUUUUCUCCUCUUACUCGCAUGCUCAUAAACUCUUAAAUUACAUUUACCUUUACUGGGAUAUAAAGGUCAGAUGUAAUUUACCUAAUAGAACCAACUGAUGGAAAUCUAUACAGAGGAAGAGAUAGGCUCCAAAAGCUAAGAACAUUUUGUCCCUGCCUCUGUGCUGCUCUCAGCAUGUUUUAAAUAUGACCCAGCAUUUGUUAACGGAUACCACAUGUCACCAUCUUUAAAUGACCUUAUCCAUCUUAUCACCACAAUUUCAAACUAAGAAAAAAAACCUCCAUCACCAAAUGAUCCUGAAUGGUCCUGUGUGUCAUGUCAGCCAUCAGCAGCGUUGACGUGGUCAGUAAUUCUUGUAGAUAAUUUAUCAUUUACCAGAUUAUACGGAAAAUAAAAAUCUCUUGAAAAACAUCUCUCUCAAUGUUUGUUUUCGUGGCUCUCGCUAUAACAGUAGUGAAAAGAGAGAAAUUAUUUGAUUAAUUUGGUC